rnacentral:rRNA from 1 species
CACGAAGUUAGCCGGGGCUUCUUCUGCGGGUACCGUCAUUAUCUUCCCCGCUGAAAGAGCUUUACAACCCUAAGGCCUUCAUCACUCACGCGGCAUGGCUGGAUCAGGCUUGCGCCCAUUGUCCAAGAUUCCUAACUGCUGCCUCCCGUAGGAGUCUGGGCCGUGUCUCAGUCCCAGUGUGGCUGAUCAUCCUCUCAGACCAGCUACUGAUCGUAGCCUUGGUGGGCCGUUACCCCACCAACUAGCUAAUCAGACGCGGGCCGAUCUUCUGGCGAUAAAUCUUUCCCCCGAAGGGCUUAUCCGGUAUUAGCCCAAGUUUCCCUGGGUUGUUCCGAACCAAAAGGCACGUUCCCACGUGUUACUCACCCGUCUGCCACUCCGUAUUGCUACGGCGUUCGACUUGCAUGUUUUAGGCCUGCCGCCAGCGUUCGCUCUGAGCCAGGAUCAAACUCU